UGGGGAAUAUUGGACAAUGGGCGCAAGCCUGAUCCAGCCAUGCCGCGUGAGUGAUGAAGGCCCUAGGGUUGUAAAGCUCUUUCACCGGUGAAGAUAAUGACGGUAACCGGAGAAGAAGCCCCGGCUAACUUCGUGCCAGCAGCCGCGGUAAUACGAAGGGGGCUAGCGUUGUUCGGAUUUACUGGGCGUAAAGCGCACGUAGGCGGACUAUUAAGUCAGGGGUGAAAUCCCGGGGCUCAACCCCGGAACUGCCUUUGAUACUGGUAGUCUUGAGUUCGAGAGAGGUGAGUGGAAUUCCGAGUGUAGAGGUGAAAUGCGUAGAUAUUCGGGGGAACACCAGUGGCGAAGGCGGCUCACUGGCUCGAUACUGACGCUGAGGUGCGAAAGCGUGGGGAGCAAACAGG
rnacentral:rRNA from 1 species